GGAUUGUGGCUCAUUGGUAGAGCACUCACCUAGCACACACGAAGUCCUGGGUUCAAUCCUCAGCACCA
rnacentral:tRNA from 1 species